CAGGGAAGUAAAAAGAGCCGGAAUUACAAACCAGGGCAGCCUUCCUGGGAAGCCCACACUCCUAGCCGCCUACCACAGCUAGCUGUUAGAAGCCAACCUUUCAAAAUGGCUUAAACUGGGGCCAGGGCGAGUCUAGAACUAUUGAAAAGUUUGACUCUCCUGGCAUCAGAUGGACGGAGGUCAGAAAAUAGACACUUUCUUUAAAGAAUGUGUAUUUAGAAGAAGAUUUUAAAUAAGCCAGAAGAACUUGCUCUUUAAAGUAAUACAGUAAAUACUUCAUUUAUAAGGCAACGAGUGUGUGUGUGUAUGUACCCAUUUUUAUUUGGGCAAAUUUGGAGUUCUUGAUAUUCAGUUUGGAUUGGUACAUACAACACACUCCUACAAAAUACAUUCCAGAAUUGAGCAGUAGGAAAAUAUGGAAAAACAAGAUUAAAGGACCAUAGUAGAUUUAUUAGGAAACAGAGAAUAUCUUAUUUAAAAAGAGUAAAUGAAGUAGGAGAAAGCUCAAAUAUUACCCAUGAAUAAAAAACAGGAAAGCUACUUAAAAAGGUCUCUAUACAAAAUGCACAAGGAAAUCCGAUGAAGACAGUUACUCUGAAAGGGACAAAGUGAAUUAUUCUCCAUAGACAAUUAAACCAGGUAGUUUUGCUGCGUAGCCCAUCCAACCAGACAUCCUGUCCACUAGUCCAAUGGCUUUGGGGUACGUGAGACCGCCUGGGUUCUGAGAAGUGGAGAUCUUCUGAAUUCUAAGAAUUCUUAGCAUGGAAAACAAGUGAACAGGUGAAGCUGUGCAUGGAAGGGAGGGGGCUGGAACACGAAACUGCCUGUGUUUCAACCUGCCACUGACGCUCUCUAGCAACGCGACCUUGGGUGAGUUGUUCAGCAUCUCCUUGCACAUCCAGGUGGGUGAUUCAGCAGCUCACCCAUCUGUAAAAUGGCUGAGGAUUACUGGAGGACCUGCUCCUGAGUGUGUGAGCAUUAGAUGACCCACUUAUAGCGCAUCUGCAACAGAGGAUGGCAGAUAAAGAUUAACCAUCACUCCUCUCAGCUCUGUCUCCAAGCAGGCUCAAAGUAAAUAUUUGAGGGCUGAAUUAAUGAAUGACAAAGGAUCAAUUCCUUUUACUCCUUUGGAUUUAUUAAUGGAUACAAACUAUGGUAAUUCCAUGGUGCUGACACACAAUAGGUCCUCUUUACUGUCAAAAUGUAUAAAGAUAUUAGACCUAUCAGAGAAAACGAAAAUCACACAUCAGCACAUGUUCUAUCCAUCUCAAUUGCAAUCAUCUUUGUUUCUGAUUAAGCAUCUUUAAUAGUUUUAUAGGUUAGAAAAAGGGCCUGAAGUUAGUAGAGUACUAUAGAAAGUGGGUAAGCCAGUAGACGGCUAAAUUACCUUGAGACUUAAACCAGAUACUUAAAACUGAAAAGGAGAGGCUUUGGGGGACUUCGAAUACUUAUUUACUUGAUUUAAAUAAAUGUGAAAAUCACAGAACUGACACUACUUUCAAGUGAAUGGAUUUAGCCAGUGAAUGCUCAAACUCAGUGUGAAACCAGAUAGCCAUGAGCCACCCAGACUCAGAUGACAGCACAAACAAAAUUUUGUUCAUUGUUAGCUACAUCUUCCUGCUCCACUCCCUGGGGAAUGUGGGCAUCCUGUCUCCGGUCACCCGUCAUAUCAGAGAACUCAGGAAGUGCGGUUUAUAAAUAUCUCCAGGUGAGUUCAAGUGGGACAGAAUCUCAGAGGCUGCAUUUUGCACCGUUUCUCAUUUUGUGCCAUUGAAUUACUGGGUUGAGUUCAUCUAAAUUGCCAAGUCAGAAAAAAGAGGAGCUGAAUUCACAAUCUGUUACUGUUGCCAGAAAGAAGACAGGCUGCCUAGUUAAAUUUCAAUUUCAG
rnacentral:lncRNA from 1 species